UACAGAGGUCUCAAGCGUUGUUCGGAUUCAUUGGGCGUAAAGGGUGCGUAGGCGGCGCGGUAAGUCGGGUGUGAAAUCUUGGAGCUUAACUCCGAAACUGCAUUCGAUACUGCCGUGCUUGAGGACUGGAGAGGAGACUGGAAUUUACGGUGUAGCGGUGAAAUGCGUAGAUAUCGUAAGGAAGACCAGUGGCGAAGGCGGGUCUCUGGGCCGAGACUGACGCUGAGGCGCGAAAGCGUGGGGAGCAAACAGG
rnacentral:rRNA from 1 species